rnacentral:rRNA from 1 species
AUUGAACGCUGGCGGCAGGCCUAACACAUGCAAGUCGAGCGAGCGGCGGACGGGUGAGUAACGUCUGGGAAACUGCCUGAUGGAGGGGGGUAACACCUGGAAACGGUAGAAAAUACCGCAUCUCAUCCGAUGAGCCCAGAUGGGAUUAGCGAGUGGGUGGGGUAACGCCGCACCCAGGGGCCGAUCCCUAGCUGGUCUGAGAGGCUGACCCGCCACACUGGAACUGAGAGACGGUCAAGACUCCUACGGAAGGCAGCAGUGGGGAAUAUUGCACAAUGGGCGCAAGCCUGAUGCAGCCAUGCCGCGUGUGUGAAGAAGGCCUUCGGGUUGUAAAGCACUUUCAGCGGGGAGGCGUUACCCGCAGAAGAAGCACCGGCUAACUCCGUGCCAGCAGCCGCGGUAAUAC